rnacentral:rRNA from 1 species
UGGGGAAUAUUGGACAAUGGGCGCAAGCCUGAUCCAGCCAUGCCGCGUGUGUGAAGAAGGCCUUUCGGUUGUAAAGCACUUUAAGCGAGGAGGAGGCUACUUGGAUUAAUACUCUAAGAUAGUGGACGUUACUCGCAGAAUAAGCACCGGCUAACUCUGUGCCAGCAGCCGCGGUAAUACAGAGGGUGCGAGCGUUAAUCGGAUUUACCGGGCGUAAAGCGUGCGUAGGCGGCUUCUUAAGUCGGAUGUGAAAUCCCUGAGCUUAACUUAGGAAUUGCAUUCGAUACUGGGAAGCUAGAGUAUGGGAGAGGAUGGUAGAAUUCCAGGUGUAGCGGUGAAAUGCGUAGAGAUCUGGAGGAAUACCGAUGGCGAAGGCAGCCAUCUGGCCUAAUACUGACGCUGAGGUACGAAAGCAUGGGGAGCAAACAGG